rnacentral:misc_RNA from 1 species
CUGCUGCGGCGGCUCAUCACCGCCAACCCCCUCCCUUUUCUUCCUUCGAUCUCUCCCUGUGUGUCUUCACGCACGGGGUGGCCCAUCACUUACACAACAAUCGCUAACGCAUGCGCAUCGAGGCAGAGAAGGAGGGAGCGCCAAGCAAAAAGAGACGUAGAAGUGGGAUCGGCUGCCGCGUCUUUGCCUGGCGUGGGUCUGGGCGUAUGCGCCGUGCGCGACAGAGGCUUGGGGUGCGGCGGUUCUCAUACUGGGCAAUCGCGACGUGGCGGCGGAAUACCGAGGCGGCGCGUCCUCUUCGAAGAUACGGUACCGCCGCUGAGGGCACUGCACCUUCGGCCUCGACAACGUUUCCCUCCGCGGCGCCCCCUUGCCUUCCGUCGUCGUCGUUGGCGACCUCUACGGCAGCACCCAAGAUCCUCCGCGAUGCCGCCGCACUUUUUGACCACUACUUCAACGACGUGUCGACCACGCUCGACAUCGCUCCCAUCAAGCGACCACAUGUCGUGGGGAGUCUCGUGUGCGCUUUGGAGGAGUAUCCAAUCAGCGUCGUCCUUGUGGAGCAGUGCUGCGGCACCUCCGCCGAGGCCGUGACCGAGAGUGUGCGGUGGAGGGCCAUCCAUAGCGCCCAGGGAAUGCGUGGGGCGUCGUGGAAGUCAACGAAGACGUUUCUUGUGCAUCACCUGUGCACUGCUCGGCCGAACGUGGUCGAGCUGCUGGAAGCGCUCGAUUUGACGCUGCGAGUGCGGCUGCUGCGGCAGGAUGACCUCCCUGCCACUACUACUGAGGAGCAGGAGGGGACGCGUCGCGACGAGCGCGGCGGCGUCUCGGAUGCGUCAUCACGAAAAACGAAGAAGUCGACUGGGCAGAGGUGGCGGUGCUCCGCUGAGCUGUACGAUACGUGGCACACACAGCCACGCUUUAAGCCUGUAGAGCCCGCAGCCGGUGGCGGCGAAGAGUCAGGGGGCGAUGAAGUGGGCGAGCUGCUGGAUGUGAUUGAGAGAGCUCUAACACGGGUGGAAGCGAAGCUGCGGCAGCUGCACAUGCGAUACGCGAGGGACAGCGUGGAGGAGGCUUGCAGGUUUGUCCAGGAAGCCGGCGGCGACUUCUGUGAGACGCAGCUCACAAUGCGUGGCCUGCGGGCGUGUAUGGAGAAGGGCGACCAUGCGCCACACAAUGCGACUCGGCACUGCCCGUGGUGGGGCGAGGUGCGAGCACGCCGUUGCUGGUCUCUCCAGUGCAACGCGGACGUGGACGUGAAGCACUCAAAGGCCGUGGGGUUUCACCUCUGCCUUGCCUUCACGCUGCACGCCAGCUGCAGCGGCGAGACCAACGGCAAAAGUGAUGUGGCGGCCGUACUGCAGUCGUCUGAAGCACAUCGUGGGCUUGCUCAGCUUGUGGAGAACAAGGCAGCGGAUGGGGUGUCCCGCCGCUACACGAACCCGGCGAGCUGUUCGGCUCUCCUACAAGGCCUGUACGCGGUAUCCACCCUUUCACGCAUGCUGGCAAGUGGGCGCUUGUCCUCCGUUAAAGACUGGACGUGUGGACCAAUGGACUUGGCGAGCCACCUCGUGAGCGCGGCGGCCGUGCUUUCUCCGACGGUCGCCUACGACUGGAUUGGCGCCACUCGAGGCGGAAGCGAUUCACUUGCGCAAGGAACGCCAUGUAGGGCACAGGAGACCGUGCCCACUGCCGCGGCUGCGGGGCUACCGGCUUGCGUUCGCUGGAGCACCUUUGUGGGGCGGGCCAGCUUAGACGACUUUGUCGUCCAUCUCCGUGGGACGAUUGGCUCACGAGGGCAGAGCGCUGCGAGAGAUGCCUAUGCUUUGCCGCCGCUGUGGCCACAGCUGGGUCUUCUUUACCCCGGCACACCCGAAGACCGAUGCGCCGCCUUGCGCGAGCUUCUACGGCACGAGCAUGGUCUGCGGGGGCUGCCUCGGGUCUCGGUAACCGUAUGCACCACGCCGCUCUUCUCGCUCGAGUACGACGCGGAGCUCAUAGUAAAGGACAGGGAUGCCAACUCGAAGCGAGUUUCACAUGACACGGCAGGCGACCUCACCAGCAUUCAAAUCUUGUGCGGUGAUUGCUACGCGGACGUCGCUGCUGCUGCGCAGGUACACACGCCAUGGGCAGCUCCACUCUGCAAAGCCGCUCCAGCACCUUUGCCGGCGGCCACCGCGGUAGCCCAGCGCGGCAAGGGCGAUCAGAUGGACAAGUGCUCUGUGUGCGCCGACACGGACAAUCGAACCCACGACGCCGCCAGCCCCGCAUUCGAUGCGCUGCAGUGCAUCUCGGUGGAUGUGCUCUCCAUCAGUGACUCCAUGUCGGCGAUGGGGUUCACCUCUGCGACAUGGACCGCCAGCACAGCAAAGCUCGUGGCAGAGCGCGGCGCCAACGCCGCUCCUGCUGUGUUCGAAGGCGCGAACACACUCUCCGGCUACAGGCGAAUUCUCCGCUUCUGUGCGAAACGGCCGGUGUACAGGACGGCGUACCUGCCACGGCGCAGCUCGCUACAGGAGGCGCUUCAGUGUCUUCUCGUCACCAUGGCAGCCAGCGGGUCCAACGCUAACGACGACCUUGGCCGCUGCAAGCGAAGGGGGGACGGGUGGCCAGGUGCGCACACGGAGGAAGCAGCGAUUCUGCGCGAGCAGCAGACGCGAACCGGUCAUACACACCUCGGGCGUUGCGGCACACUGAUGCUCAUUUUCCCCUUCAACGCCGGGGCCGCUGCUCUGCAGGCGCAAACAAGCGCCGCUGCCAAGAAAAUGCAACAGGCUCUCUUCUCAGCCGUGCAGGAGCACUGCCGUGAUUCGGCGCAGCUCUCUGCGUGGAUGCCUGCUCACACCUCAUCCACGGAAGCGACCUUCUUCCACUCCUGGCCUCUGACGGCGCAGUGGCUGGUGCCUCACGGCAGCCCACUUCAUGUGUCGCUGACGCCGGUGGUCUGCGAGGAAGCAGCGGCACCGCGGCGUCGCCAUGACGAAAAAGUGGCAGAGGACUCUUCGGGACAUGGCGCCGCCCAGUAUGAUCUGCACCUAUCCACCACGGCUUCCCCGUCAGCGUCGUCGGCGCCGGUGUGCAGAAGAACGGAGCCAUGCUCGCCAUCGUCGGCCACGGCUGUGGUGACGCGGCUCCCUGCCAGUGCGGCGUGGCUUUCAACGGCGCACACUGCGAUGAGGAGGGCCUUGAUGCUCUCACGCCCUGACCUGUUUGCGUAUCCUGGUCAUCGUGUCCCCGCAUCGGCUGCGCUUGGCGGGGAGGAGGGUAGCGACGACACGGCAGGUGUGCACGGGCUGCUUGUGCGCUGUGCGACCUUCACGCAGGUGGUCGAAGCACUUCUCUUCACAACCACCUUUGGUGAGCCGGACGCGUUGGACACUGAGGACGUUCUAAACGAGCUCUUUGGCCACAACGUGUACACGAAGAAACGCGGCGCUGUGACGGAGUUGUGGCUCAUCGUCGCUCCACGCAUGUCACCUGUACGCCUCUGCACUGUGAACAUGAAUGAGGGCAAUCUCGGCGGAUCCUCAGAGAGAAAGUGGUCCAUGCUGUUGCAGUGCGUAAUGGACGCAUCCUGCCCCGAAGCGAGGGCGACCGUGGAAGCAAUGCGGCACCUGCGAAGGCGUGUCGCGGCGCUGGCCACCGAGAAUGACAGUGGUCGUCCGCCGCCGCAAUGCCAACUCGCGUGCGAGUGGGUCCUCAGGCCUGCGGCUGCGAGCGAAACGGAGCCAGUGGAGUGGGUUCAGGUGUUUGUGGCAGAGCUGGUGCGCGGCUCACCUGUGUCGUCGACGUCGGCUUCUGGCCCUCGGUGGUCAAAAAUAUCCAUGAGGCGGCAACGGCGAGGGGACGUCACGGCGCAGUCCGACGACGGUGCGACCCCCGCGAAGGUGCCGACGAGUGUGAUGCAUCGCGAGGAAGGCCCAGACAGCUUUGGUGUCUUGUGGAGGAUGCUGCACUCUCUUGCCCUGCAACCCGCAGAGACAGCCAGCUUGCCCACCACUGCGUCCGGACAAGAUUUGUCCAGUGCGCCCAUUCCCUCUCCUGGUGGGUUCAUCAAGGCUGCCCAAAGGGCACUCGCGCGUCAGCGCGGUGUCGCACGCGUGACUCACCGCUACGACAAGGGUCUAGGAGGCGUUGUUGUCGAGGGAUGGGGACGACUGCGGCAAAACGGAAGCGAGGCGCCAUGCGAAACUCCGAUAACACUCGUGGCUGAGCCGAUGCCGCUGCACUGUGUCCCCAUGCACGUCAUGCAACUUUAUCAUCGCCUUCUCGUAGAGACGCACGAGCCUCCCCGUAUCCAGGAGGCAGUGUGGGAGCGGCUGGGGGCCGAGUGCGAGAAGACCUCGACAGAGACGAUCGUGCAGUCUCUAUGCGAGAGUCUGGGCUGCACGCCUGCCGAUCUUCAGAGCGUGGAGGCGCGGUACAUGAAAGUGUGGACGGCCCGCCUCGAGCUCCCUCUUCGCGUUUUCGGGUUCUCUGCUCCCGUGACGUUGUCACCUCCUUCAUCCCCGUCUUCGCAAAGUCCCUGCUGCGACGCCCCGCACGCGCUGUACGUGUACUGCCAGCGCUCUUCAAAGAGGCAAGCGAUACGGAGUGUGUACACUCUCCUCUACCAAUGGACUCGCUAUCCACAGAUGGUGGCGCCGGCCAACGGCGCACAGUUUCGCGUUGCGAGCAACAAGAGUUCCGUGUGGCCCAGCUGGAGUGCCGACUCUCCAUCGUCGCCGUCGGCGCCAUUACCGUGUCCAGCGACCACUGCCACAGCCGAACCUAGGCUGCCAAUGAUGACGGAGUCGGCAGCGUGGGCAACAGAGGUUUGCGUCACACCGACGGCUCCGCGUGCGCCUCAGACGCUGCGCUCCAUCCUCGACGCGGCCCACGCGCGCAUGGAAACGUCUCUCGGCGCACUCGUGGGCUGCAGGGCCGGCCGCGUGACGCUGCGGCUCAGUCAGACGUUUGGGCUGCAGCUGAUGUACAGCGUGGGUGCGGCGGGGGCGCAGGCGGAAGCCCCCGAGACGGACUCUGUCCAGCUCCUGCGUGAGGCGUGGGUGCCGCUUGUGUGGGCACCAGCGCAGAUUCUCAGCGCCGAGGUGUCGGUACUGCAGCGCCUCCUCACGCACUCGACCACCACCGUGGGCGGCGGCGACACCGAAGAUAUGCGAAGCGUGCUGCGAGAGCUCGUUUUCACCAAUGGCCGAGCGCAGCGAGCGGCAUUGCAGAGCGGGCGUGAUGCACGCGCGAAGGAGUUUUGCGUCUCGUUUUUCCGUCGCUACUUUGGCUGGCGCGUGUGCGAACGCGACGACGUCGAAGACAUCUCCGUCUGUGACGAUCAUGGCACCGUCGUGAUAGUGCAGAAAGCGGAACAGGCACCGUUGCCCCAUGGCGGGCAGCACUGCACUCCAAAUCGAUUCGCCUCCUCGCGCCGCAGAGGCGGGGCGCCGCACGGUGAGCACAGAAACGCGACGGCUACUCUCCAGUUGACGCAAAUCGUGCCUGGCGCCGCAACUUCCGUCCGGCUGGGGAGGAUACUUGUUGAGGUGACGGGUGCGACCCCCCAAGCCGCCUUGGACGCCCUCUGGGAGCCGUGCACCGCACAGAUCGAAUCCGUGUUCGGCGUGUCGUGCAGUAUGCCGUCACGCGAGGCGGACGAUCAAAUUUUGCUCUUUAUGCAGUCGCAGCUGGAGUAACCCUCUGCCAACUCGCGCAUGACUCGCAGAGGGGGAGGAGGCAGGACAGGCAAUGACACGAACGCACAGGUGCGCUCGUGAGCUCGCGUUCAUGAUGCUCACCACGACACUGGACCGAGGAGGCAGAGCGUGUGCGUGUGCAACGGAGAAUCACAUAGUCCCCAGCCAGGACGCGGGGACAGGCAACGCGACAGAGGAGGCGGGCAUGGAUGCCGUGCUUGGGCUUGGCCGGAUCUCCGUUUGCCCCACGCGUACAUGCGCCCAUGUGUGUGUGCGCGCAUCUGUCUUAUCCUUGACCCAUCUUCUUCGUUUCAAUCGCCGUGG